rnacentral:tRNA from 1 species
UAGUUUAGUCCCUAAAGAACCUGCCUGCAAUGCAGGAGACCCAGGUUCGAUUCCUGG